UAAUACCAGCGCCACAAGUGGGGGCCAUGAUUAUUGGGCCUAAAGCGUUCGUAGCUGGUUCUGUAAAUCUUUUGUGAAAUCGUUGGGCUUAACCUAACGGCGUGCAGAAAAAACUGCAGAACUUGGGACCGGGAGGGGUUAGAAGUAUUUCUGGGGGAGCGGUAAAAUGCAGUAAUCCCAGGAGGACUACCUGUGGCGAAGGCGUCUAACCAGAACGGGUCUGACAGUGAGGAACGAAAGCCAGGGGAGCAAACCGGAUUAGAUACCCGAGUAGUCCUGGCCGUAAACGCUGCGAGCAAGGUGUUGCAUAUUCUAACAGGAAUGUGCAGUGUCGAAACGAAGGUGUUAAGCUCGCCGCCUGGGAAGUACGGUCGCAAGACUG
rnacentral:rRNA from 1 species